AGCGGAGAAGAAGCCAGCUGCAGAGAAGGCACCAGCAGAGAAGAAGCCAAAGGCAGGGAAGAAGCUUCCCAAGGAUGGCGCAGCAGCUGCAGCAGACAAGAAGAAAAAGAGGGUUAAGAAGUCGGUGGAAACCUACAAGAUCUACAUUUUCAAAGUGCUGAAACAGGUUCACCCUGACAUUGGUAUAUCUAGCAAGGCUAUGGGUAUUAUGAACAGCUUUAUCAAUGACAUUUUUGAGAAACUUGCUCAAGAGUCUUCUCGUCUUGCUCGCUAUAACAAGAAGCCUACUAUUACUUCUCGGGAGAUCCAGACUGCUGUCAGAUUGGUGCUCCCUGGUGAAUUGGCUAAGCAUGCU
rnacentral:misc_RNA from 1 species